rnacentral:rRNA from 1 species
UACGUAGGCAGCGAGCGUUGUUCGGAGUUACUGGGCGUAAAGAGUGCGUAGGCGGUGCUCUAAGUUUGGUGUGAAAUCUCCCGGCUCAACUGGGAGGGUGCGCCGAAAACUGGAGUGCUCGAGUAUGGGAGAGGUAAGCGGAAUUCCUGGUGUAGCGGUGAAAGUGCGUAGAUAUCAGGAGGAACACCUGCGGUGUAGACGGCUUACUGGACCAUGACUGACGCUGAGGCACGAAAGCGUGGGGAGCAAACAGG